rnacentral:rRNA from 1 species
UGCCAGCAGCCGCGGUAAUACGGGAGUGGCAAGCGUUAUCCGGAAUUAUUGGGCGUAAAGCGUCCGCAGGCGGCCCUUCAAGUCUGCUGUUAAAAAGUGGAGCUUAACUCCAUCAUGGCAGUGGAAACUGUUGGGCUUGAGUGUGGUAGGGGCAGAGGGAAUUCCCGGUGUAGCGGUGAAAUGCGUAGAUAUCGGGAAGAACACCAGUGGCGAAGGCGCUCUGCUGGGCCAUCACUGACGCUCAUGGACGAAAGCCAGGGGAGCGAAAGGGAUUAGAAACCCCCGUAGUCC